CAUUUUCCGUUAGUAACCUAUUGGCCAUUUGAUAACUCCAACAAGGACUAAUCAAACGAGAACCAUUUGAUGAUGUUAAUGGUGAAACACAAGACCCAUCAGCAAACUCUCCUCCAAUGGUCACACCACUACAAAACAUUAGAUCCUUUAAUGACUCCAACAAAACUCUUAUGAUGUGGGUGCUAGUGAGGCCAGUACCGUAGUUAAUAUUGAUGUGUUUUUGGUCUGACUGUCUACAAAAGAAAUCCACAUCAUAAGAGCUGUUGAAGGAGUCAUUAAAAGAUCUAAUGGUUUGAUCAUUAGAGGAGGGUUUGUUGAUGGGUCGUGUGUUGCAUCAUUAAUAUCAUCAAAUGGUUCUCGUUUAAUUCGUAUUUGUUGUAGUCAUCAAAUAGCCAAUAUGUUACGCUAUGUACCACGAAAAUG